GUGCCGACUUUGCUAAGCUACAAAUGGCCAUCUUCCUGCAUUGCUUAGUUACCAAAUAUAGUUGGAAAGCGGUCAAGGGAGGAACCAUGGUGCUUUGUCCUGGACUACAGUUUCCUGGUGGUUUUCACAUACAACUUGUCCCAAAAGCUUGAUGCGUGGAUGUUACUGCUUCAAUACGUUCAAGACCUCUUAGCCUCUGGAGGAUUCACAAUAUAGUCGUUUAUACAGAUCUCUAGUAUGGUAUCAUGUCCAUGUGUGGCUAUGGAUUAGAAUAAUAAUGUAUAAACAUUGGUCAAACCAUUAUUUGUUUCAAAAGCUUGUUUAUAGUGAA